rfam:Citrus sinensis cultivar Ridge Pineapple sweet orange scaffold04287_contig_1, whole genome shotgun sequence.
AUGCCAUAAUGAGUACAGCUCCUGAGCAACUCCUUAAAUCUUUCCCAAGCCUUAUACAAGCUUUCAUCUUCUAAUUGGUGACAAGAAGUGAUCUCAUUCUGCAACUU